UACGAAGGGGGCUAGCGUUGUUCGGAAUUACUGGGCGUAAAGGGCGCGUAGGUGGCCUUCUAAGUUGAACGUGAAAUCCCUGGGCUCAACCCAGGAACUGCGUCCAAGACUGGGAGGCUUGAAUCCGGGAGAGGGAUGCGGAAUUCCAGGUGGUAGCGGUGAAAUGACGUAGAUAUCGGGAGGACACCAGUGGCGAAGGCGGCUUUCGUGGUCUGUUCUUGACGCUGAGGCGCGGAAAGCUAAGGGUAGCAAACGGGGAUUAAGAA
rnacentral:rRNA from 1 species